rnacentral:rRNA from 1 species
UAGGGAAUCUUCCGCAAUGGACGCAAGUCUGACGGAGCAACGCCGCGUGAGUGAAGAAGGAUUUCGGUUCGUAAAACUCUGUUGUUAGAGAAGAACAGCGCAUAGAGUAACUGUUAUGCGUGUGACGGUAUCUAACCAGAAAGCCACGGCUAACUACGUGCCAGCAGCCGCGGUAAUACGUAGGUGGCAAGCGUUGUCCGGAUUUAUUGGGCGUAAAGCGAGCGCAGGCGGUCAAUUACGUCUGAUGUGAAAGCCCCCGGCUCAACCGGGGAGGGUCAUUGGAAACUGGUUGACUUGAGUGCAGAAGAGGAGAGGGGAAUUCCAUGUGUAGCGGUGAAAUGCGUAGAUAUAUGGAGGAACACCAGUGGCGAAGGCGACUCUCUGGUCUGUAACUGACGCUGAGGCUCGAAAGCGUGGGUAGCAAACAGG